UACAGAGGUGCGAGCGUUGUCCGGAAUCACUGGGCGUAAAGGGCGCGUAGGUGGCGGCCCAAGUCCAUGGUGAAAGCCUCGGAUGCUCAACAUCGAGUCGGCCACGGAUAUUGGGUUGCUCGAGCACUGUGAGGGGCAGAUGGAAUUCCGGGUGUAGCGGUGGAAUGCGCAGAUAUCAGGAGGAACACCGGUGGCGAAGGCGGGUCUCUGGGCAGUAACUGACGCUGAGGAGCGAAAGCGUGGGGAGCGAACAGG
rnacentral:rRNA from 1 species